AUAUGCUUGUCUCAAAGAUUAAGCCAUGCAUGUCCAAGUACAAGCCUCACUAAGGUGAAACCGCGAAUGGCUCAUUAAAUCACACCUAAUCUACUGGAUAGUUAACAGGUACUUGGAUACCUGCGGUAAUUCUGGAGCUAAUACAUGCGAAAAGCCUCGAACUUACGUGAGAGGCGCUUUUAUUAGAUCAAAACCAAUCGGCUUCGGCUGUACUCUUGGUGACUCUGAAUAACUUUGGGCUGAUCGUAUAGCCUUGCGCUGACGACAUAUCCUUCGAAGGUGUGCCCUAUCAACUGUCGACUGUGGCAUAGACGCCCACAGUGGUUUUGGACGGGUAACGGGGAAUCAGGGUUCGAUUCCGGAGAGGGAGCCUUAAAAACGGCUACCACAUCUAAGGAAGGCAGCAGGCACGCAAAUUACCCAAUGAUCGAAGAUCGAGGUAGUGACGAAAAAUAACGAUCCAGGACUCAUCCGAGGCCCUGGAAUCGGAAUGAGUACACUUUAAAACCGUCCCCGAGGAUCUAUUGGAGGGCAAGUCUGGUGCCAGCAGCCGCGGUAAUUCCAGCUCCAAUAGCGUAUAUUAAAGUUGUUGUGGUUAAAAAGCUCGUAGUUGGAUCUCGGCGGACUGAGGGCGGUUUGCUUGCUAGUAUUACUGCCC
rnacentral:rRNA from 1 species